rfam:Triticum aestivum genome assembly, contig: Triticum_aestivum_CS42_TGACv1_scaffold_001442_1AL
GUCCGAAAAUACUUGUCAUCAAAAUGGAUAAAAGGGGAUGUAUCUAGAAGUAAAAUACGUCUAGAUACGUCCCCUUUUGUUCAUUUUGAUGACAAGUAUUUCCGGAC